UACGAAGGGAGCUAGCGUUGUUCGGAAUCACUGGGCGUAAAACGCACGUAGGCGGAUUUGUCAGUCGGGGGUGAAAUCCCGAGGCUCAACCUCUGAACUGCCUCCGAUACAGCAAAUCUCGAGUCCGGGAGAGGUGGGUGGAAUUCCUAGUGUAGAGGUGAAAUUCGUAGAUAUUAGGAAGAACACCAGUGGCGAAGGCGGCCCGCUGGCCCGGUGCUGCCGCUGAGGCGCGAUAGCGGGGGGAGCAAACACG
rnacentral:rRNA from 1 species